rnacentral:rRNA from 1 species
UGGGGAAUAUUGGACAAUGGGCGCAAGCCUGAUCCAGCCAUGCCGCGUGAGUGAUGAAGGCCCUAGGGUUGUAAAGCUCUUUCACCGGUGAAGAUAAUGACGGUAACCGGAGAAGAAGCCCCGGCUAACUUCGUGCCAGCAGCCGCGGUAAUACGAAGGGGGCUAGCGUUGUUCGGAUUUACUGGGCGUAAAGCGCACGUAGGCGGACUAUUAAGUCAGGGGUGAAAUCCCGGGGCUCAACCCCGGAACUGCCUUUGAUACUGGUAGUCUUGAGUUCGAAAGAGGUGAGUGGAAUACCGAGUGUAGAGGUGAAAUUCGUAGAUAUUCGGAGGAAAACCAGUGGCGAAGACGGCGCACUGGCUCGAUACUGACGCUGAGGUGCGAAAGCGUGGGGAGCAAACAGG